AAAUUGAAGAGUUUGAUCAUGGCUCAGAUUGAACGCUGGCGGCAGGCCUAACACAUGCAAGUCGAACGGUAACAGGAAGCAGCUUGCUGCUUUGCUGACGAGUGGCGGACGGGUGAGUAAUGUCUGGGAAACUGCCUGAUGGAGGGGGAUAACUACUGGAAACGGUGGCUAAUACCGCAUAACGUCGCAAGACCAAAGAGGGGGACCUUCGGGCCUCUUGCCAUCAGAUGUGCCCAGAUGGGAUUAGCUUGUUGGUGAGGUAACGGCUCACCAAGGCGACGAUCCCUAGCUGGUCUGAGAGGAUGACCAGCCACACUGGAACUGAG
rnacentral:rRNA from 1 species